GACGAACGCUGGCGGCGUGCCUAAUACAUGCAAGUCGAGCGGAAAGGCUCGGCUCUUGUGCCGUGCUCGUGAGCCGCGCACGGGUGAGUAACGCGUGUGUCCUCUCCCUGUCUGCGGGGGAAAACCUGGGGAAACGGGCGCUAAUCCCGCAUAAGCUCUUGAAGCACAGGGUUGAAUGGUGAAAGUCGGCGGUUGGGGAUGGAAUCGUGGCUAAUCAGCUUCUUGGUGGGGUAGUGACUUACCAGGGCUCCGACGGGUAGCCGGCCUGAGAGGGUGACCGGCCACAAUGGGACUGAGGUAGGGGCCAUAGGGCUACGGGAGGCAGCGGUGGAAAACAUUGCGCAAUAGGCCGAAGCCUGAUACAGCGGUGUCGGGUGCGGAAUGACGGCUUUUGGGGUAUAAACCGCUUGCGACUGUAACGAACAGUGAGUGACGGUAAUGAGUAAGAAAGCACCGGCUAACUACGUG
rnacentral:rRNA from 1 species